AAUAACGAGGUUGUCAAGGUUGAGAGCCUACAAGAGUGAAGACACUGAUCGAGUAAGAGUUUGCAUUUUCAAUUCGUUUCCAAAUUAAGAUGAAGUGCUUUCCAGCUUUCCCUCUCCUUUUGGUGUUUUUCUUGGUUUUUUCAAGUGGUACUAUUCUGCUAGGGGAGGCACAAACAUGCUCCAUGCCUCCAAUCAAUAUUAUCAACUGCUCAAAGCUGGCAUGUGUCCAAAGCUGUGUUGAGAAAUAUGGAGAAUGGAUAAAUGGUGCAUGCACCGAUCGGGACACUUGCUGUUGCCAGGUGUUGCAGAUGCGAAACCAAGCCUAGAUCAAAUUCUACCCACCUCAUUUAAUUAAUAGUCACAUAUAUUGAAAAAUAAUUGUGAUUUGUGAGGGGGCAACAAAUAAGUUCAAAUCAAUGAAAUAAUUCUAUAAUUCUACAUUUA